rnacentral:lncRNA from 1 species
UGAUGAUGAGGUCACUUCCUGUUCCUUUCCAGGUGGUUCAGAUGAGAUGUCAGUUGGUUUUCGAUGUUCAUCUUUUGGAGGAGACUCACCAUGAUCAGACCUGUCUUCAUUAUCACUGUACCACUAUUCUGGAUCACAGGUGUGUCUCUCAGUAAUGAAGUGUACCAGUCUCCUUCUAAGAUCCUGGUAAAGCCUGAUGGUUUUUCCACACUCAACUGCAGUCACAAAAUAUCCAACUAUGACACCAUCCUCUGGUACCAUCGUUCAUUGGGAGACACGGCUCUCAAACUCAUAGGAUACUCUUUUUAUAAAGACCCUAAAGUUGAACCCUCAUAUCAACCCUCAUAUCAAAUAUAUUUUAACAUGUCAGGCGAUGGAAGGAGUGAGGCCUUCCUUCAUCUUUUCAACCUGAGACUGACAGAAGACAGUGGGGAGUAUUUCUGCGCUGCUGGUCAACACAGUGGUUCACAGUCCCAGUCUACUGUACAAAAACCCUAUCAGAUCCAGCACACUCUGUUCCGUGUGAGGGAAGGUAAAAAGAGAUUGAGACAAAAAGAGGUUGUGCGGCGUGUACAUGUCUCGUAAAUCAGUGUCACUGUGAUGUCAUAUCCUCUGUCUACAUCUACACGUGUCUCCUUUCUGUCUCAGUGUACCUGACCCAAUGAUCCUCACUGUCUGUAUCAUUUCAUUGUCUUGUGCUAAGGCACACUGUUUCACUAGCAAUUGUGUCACAUUUGGGUACAUGAAAAACCUGUUCACAAGCUAAUUAUAACUCUACGUAGAUUUGCAUAAAUGUUUGAAUGAUCUCCUCUUCCUUCCAUAAAACACAUGAAAUUGUCCUUUAAAAGCCUCCUUCAGGAGCGACAGAUACAGCUGCUGGGGUGUCUCUACACAAACAACAGAAACCUGGAGCCUAAUUUCAAAGACAAAAUAAAAA